UAAUAAAGAUACGUUAUACCGUAGACAGUAGGAGCGACUUGUCGCUUAAUGACCUACCGAGGUGUGUGAAUAUACCAGGGAUAUACUCCGUAGUAUGUCUCACAAAUGGUGUGCCUCCUCGUCUAUGUGGGGGCACAUUUUUUGUGUAGUA
rfam:Pontibacillus halophilus JSM 076056 = DSM 19796 strain JSM 076056 contig20, whole genome shotgun sequence.